CCUACGGGUGGCAGCAGUGAGGAAUAUUGGUCAAUGGGCGAGAUCCUGAACCAGCCAAGUAGCGUGAAGGAUGACUGCCCUCCGGGUUGUAACCUUCUUUUAUAAAGGAAUAAAGUGAGGCACGUGUGCCUUUUUGUAUGUACUUUAUGAGUAAGGAUCGGCUAACUCCGUGCCAGCAGCCGCGGUAAUACGGAGGAUACGAGCGUUAUCCGGAUUUAUUGGGUUUAAAGGGAGCGUAGAUGGGUUGUUAAGUCAGGUGUGAAAGUUUGCGGCUCAACCGUAAAAUUGCAAUUGAUACUGGCAGCCUUGAGUACAGGUGAGGUAGGCGGAAUUCGUGGUGUAGCGGUGAAAUGCUUAGAUAUCACGAAGAACUUCGAUUGCGAAGGCAGCCUACUAAAAUGCCACUGACAUUGAUGCGCGAAAGUGUGGGUAUCAAACAGGAUUAGAUACCCCUGUAGUC
rnacentral:rRNA from 1 species